UACAGAGGGGGCAAGCGUUUGUUCGGAAUUACUGGGCGUAAAGGGCGCGUAGGCGGCCCUCUAAGUCAGACGUGAAAUCCCUCGGCUCAACCGGGGAACUGCGUCUGAGACUGGAAGGCUUGAAUUCGGGAGAGGGAUGUGGAAUUCCAGGUGUAGCGGUGAAAUGCGUAGAUAUCUGGAGGAACACCGGUGGCGAAGGCGGCAUCCUGGACCGACACUGACGCUGAGGCGCGAAAGCUAGGGGAGCAAACGGG
rnacentral:rRNA from 1 species